UGCUUUUCUCUAUAUUUGUACUUAUUAUUACUGAAGGAUAGAUUAAUGCAAUUAGACGGAUCUGAUUGAUUAAAAGAAGAAACAGCCGAAACUCCUGGCUAUGUUUUCUUUUAUGUUUUAUACAAGAAUUCAGAUAAAGGCGUACUUAGCCUAUUAAACAUUCCUGACAUUAAUGCAAAAUAAAGAUUAAGUGGCUCAUCUUCUCCUUGUGUACGAACACGAAUCUCAUUUGCUAACUUAUAAUCAUACUCUGGAUCCUGAAAGUCACUCAACAACAAAAGUGCAAGUUCCUGCCAAGAUGACACCUUAUCCCUGUUUGCACGGAACCAUAUAAGAGCCUGAUCCGAGAACAACCUGGCUGCAGAAUACAACAGUUUGGAAUCUGAAACUCCGUCAGCCUGCUGAAGAUCUUGAACAUUUUCUAAAAAUGUCUUUGGGUCUGUGUGUCCAUUGAACUUGAGAUUCCAUUUCAAAAUGCUUUUCUGACCAUGAUCUGACUCCGUCACAACCUGUUCUUCCAAAAUUUUACCAGAAGAACCUUUACCUGUCGUUAACAAAGAAGUCACCUUACCGACGUUAUCAAGUUUAGUCAAAAAACCGUCAAAUGUUUGUUUACUUGCCUUUAUUUGUGUUUGUGUACCUAUAUCCUCUGGUCGAACCCUAGAAAUUCUGUGAAAUAAGUGAAGAGCCAAUGCUUUUGCCUUAAUAAAAGUGUAAAUUUCUCUGGAUUGUU